GGUUUCAUCCUGGCUCAGAUUGAACGCUGGCGGGAUGCUUUGCCACAUGCAAGUCGAACGGCAGCACGGACUUCGGUCUGGUGGCGAGUGGCGAACGGGUGAGUAAUGUAUCGGAACGUGCCUAGUAGCGGGGGAUAGAAUUCACGCGAAAGCAGGCCAAUACUGUAUACGCCCUUCGGGGAAAGCGGGGACCUUCUGGCCCCGCGGCUCAUUAGAGCGGCUGAUACCGGAUUAGCUAGUUGGUGGGGUAACGGCUCACCAAGGCGACGAUCCGUAGCUGGUUUGAGAGGACGACCAGCCACACUGGGACUGAGACACGGCCCAGACUCCUACGGGAGGCAGCAGUGGGGAAUUUUGACAAUGGGGAAACCUGAUCCAGCCAUCCCGCGUGUGCGAUGAAGGCCUUCGGGUUGUAAAGCACUUGGCAGGAAAGAAACGGCACGGGAUAAUACCCGUGCAACUGACGGUACCUGCAGAAUAAGCACCGGCUAACUACGUGCCAGCAGCCGCGGUAAUACGUAGGGUGCAAGCGUAAGCAAUCGGAAUUACUGGGCGUAAAAGCGUGCGCAGGCGGUUCGGAAAGAAAGAUGUGAAAUCCCAGAGCUUCUAACUUUGAACUGCAUUUUUAACUACCGAGCUAGAGUGUGUCAGAGGGAGGUGGAAUUCUGGCGCAGGCAGUGAAAUGCGUAGAUAUGCGGAGGAACACCGAUGGCGAAGGCAGCCUCCUGGGAUAACACACUGACGCUCAUGCACGAAAGCGUGGGGAGCAAACAGGAUUAGAUACCUGGUAGUCCACGCCCUAAACGAUGUCAACUAGCUGUUGGGGCCUUCUCUGGCCUUGGUAGCGCAGCUAACGCGUGAAGUUGACCGCCUGGGAGUACGGUCGCAAGAUUAAAACUCAAAGGAAUUGACGGGGACUCGCACAAGCGGUGGAUGAUGUGGAUUAAUUCGAUGCAACGCGAAAACCCUUACCUACCCUUGACAUGUCUGGAAUCCCGAAGAGAUUUGGGAGUGCUCGCAAGAGAACCGGAACACAGGUGCUGCAUGGCUGUCGUCAGCUCGUGUCGUGAGAUGUUGGGUUAAGUCCCGCAACGAGCGCAACCCUUGUCAUUAGUUGCUACGAAAGGGCACUCUAAUGAGACUGCCGGCAUUAAACCGGAGGAAGGUGGGGAUGACGUCAAGUCCUCAUGGCCCUUAUGGGUAGGGCUUCACACGUCAUACAAUGGUCGGGACAGAGGGUCGCCAAUCCGCCAGGCUUAAUCCCAGAAACCCGAUCAGGUCGAUUUGCAGUCUGCAACUCGACUGCGUGAAGUCGGAAUCGCUAGUAAUCGCGGAUCAGCAUGUCGCGGUGAAUACGUUCCCGGGUCUUGUACACACCGCCCGUCACACCAUGGGAGUGGGUUUUACCAGAAGUAGCGGGGUUCAACUGUAAGGAGGGCGAUUACCACGGUAGGAUUCAUGACUGGGGUGAAGUCGUAAUAAGGUAA
rnacentral:rRNA from 1 species